rnacentral:rRNA from 1 species
ACGGGAGGCAGCAGUGGGGGAUAUUGCACAAUGGGGGGAACCCUGAUGCAGCGACGCCGCGUGAGCGAAGAAGAUCUUCGGAUUGUAAAGCUCUGUCUUAGGGGACGAUAAUGACGGUACCCUGAGAGGAAGCCCCGGCUAACUACGUGCCAGCAGCCGCGGUAAUACGUAGGGGGCAAGCGUUAUCCGGAUUUACUGGGUGUAAAGGGAGCGUAGACGGCAAAGCAAGUCUGAAGUGAAAUCCCGGGGCUCAACCCUGGAACUGCUUUGGAAACUGUUUAGCUAGAGUGCAGGAGAGGUAAGUGGAAUUCCUAGUGUAGCGGUGAAAUGCGUAGAUAUUAGGAGGAACACCAGUGGCGAAGGCGGCUUACUGGACUGUAACUGACGUUGAGGCUCGAAAGCGUGGGGAGCAAACAGGAUUAGAUACCCUGGUA